rnacentral:rRNA from 1 species
GACGAACGCUGGCGGCGUGCCUAAUACAUGCAAGUUGAGCGAUGAAGAUUGGUGCUUGCACCAAUUUGAAGAGCAGCGAACGGGUGAGUAACGCGUGGGGAAUCUGCCUUUGAGCGGGGGACAACAUUUGGAAACGAAUGCUAAUACCGCAUAACAACUUUAAACAUAAGUUUUAAGUUUGAAAGAUGCAAUUGCAUCACUCAAAGAUGAUCCCGCGUUGUAUUAGCUAGUUGGUGAGGUAAAGGCUCACCAAGGCGAUGAUACAUGGCCGACCUGAGAGGGUGAUCGGCCACAUUGGGACUGAGACACGGCCCAAACUCCUACGGGAGGCAGCAGUGGGGAAUCUUCGGCAAUGGACGAAAGUCUGACCGAGCAACGCCGCGUGAGUGAAGAAGGUUUUCGGAUCGUAAAACUCUGUUGGUAGAGAAGAACGUUGGUGAGAGUGGAAAGCUCAUCAAGUGACGGUAACUACCCAGAAAGGGACGGCUAACUACGUG